GACAGCUCAGAUUUGAAAUCUGGCCCCUCGGGGUCCGAGUUGUAAUUUGUAGAGGAUGCUUUUGGUGAGGUGCCGCCCGAGUUCCCUGGAACGGGACGCCACAGAGGGUGAGAGCCCCGUCUGGCUGGCCACCGAGCCUCUGUAAAGCUCCUUCGACGAGUCGAGUAGUUUGGGAAUGCUGCUCAAAAUGGGAGGUAUAUGUCUUCUAAAGCUAAAUAUUGGCCAGAGACCGAUAGCGCACAAGUAGAGUGAUCGAAAGAUGAAAAGCACCUUGAAAAGAGGGUUAAAUAGUACGUGAAAUUGUUGAAAGGGAAGCGCUUGUGACCAGACUUGGGCGCGGCGGAUCAUCCGGGGUUCUCUCCGGUGCACUUCGCCGCGUCUAGGCCAGCAUCAGUUCGUCGCGGGGGAAAAAGGUUUCGGGAACGUGGCUCCUCCGGGAGUGUUAUAGCCCGUUGCAUAAUACCCUGCGGUGGACUGAGGACCGCGCAUCUGCAAGGAUGCUGGCGUAAUGGUCACCAGCGACCCGUCUUGAAACACGGACCAAGGAGUCGUCUUCGUAUGCGAGUGUUCGGGUGUCAAACCCCUACGCGUAAUGAAAGUGAACGCAGGUGAGAGCUUCGGCGCAUCAUC
rnacentral:rRNA from 1 species